rnacentral:lncRNA from 1 species
GAUGCUGUGUGAAUGUUUAUUGAACAAGUGUUUAUUGAGCUUCUACUAUGUGUCAGACAUUGUUCUGGAUACUGAGACACAGAGAUAAACAAGAUAGACAAAAACCUCACCUUGUUGGGCUUACAGUCUGAUAGGGAAGGCAGUCAAUAAGCUCUUUGCCAAUUCUCAGGCACUUUACAAAAGCAAUAAAUUAUUUUUCCAUUGAGGAUCUAAUACAAAUAUGGGUCACACUAUGCACUCAUUCAUUCCAUUUAUUUUUCUCAUUUAUUCAUUCAUUCAUUCAAUUAUUCAAGUAAGCACCCAAUAUUACUGGAUACCAAUUAUGUGUCAAGUACCGCUAGGUGAUAGGAAAAGAGAAAUAAUAAGACAGAUUGAAGCCCCACCUGAAUGAGGUUUAUGAUAUAGAAUGGAGAACAGAAAUUAAAUUGAGGAAGUGUUAUAAAUAACAACAGCAAUAUCAAAACAGUAAUGCAAUAAUAAUAGCAGUGACAUCCUCUUGGCUGGUUUGAGUAACAAUUUACAGCUUAUGAAGGAUGCACAGUUAGGGCUUGCUAAGUCAACUUGAGCUGGGUGGAGGUUAUGAGGUCCAGAAGUGAAGGGCAUCUGACACAGGGGCGGUCCUGUGAGCUGUGAGCACAAGAUGAGCUCCGACACCUGAUGGCAUCUUCAUCGUACCCCCAGGUGGUGCUGAGAUGAGGGCCAUGGAAGAUAGAGCCAGCCAAAGGUGUGAGGUUUUUGUGGGCAGACAUUAAUGGCACGGCAGGGGGUUGUCCUAGCAGUCUCACUGAACUUGUGUCAGCUUUCAGGCGCUAUCUGAGAGUGAGUACCUGUUAGUCUUGGCCUGAUGUCAGUCCUUCAGUUUCCUCAUUUGAGAAAUGGAGACAACCCAGGCAUCUACUCCAGGUCAAGGACUCAGGGAAGGAGCGUGAUAUGGUUUGGCCUGCCUGAUCUUUGGGCUCAGCAUGUUCUUGCAGCCGUCCGGCCAGCCCCGCAGGGCCGUUCAUGCUGUCAUCCACUUGCUUUUGCUCGUCCUCGCGCCUAGUCGCCCCUCAUGUCCUGCUCGUUCGGGGCCCCGUGGCCGCUGGCGUCACCCGUCAGGCUCCCUCGGCUACCUCUCCUGGCUCCGGACGGACGGCUCGCCUUGGACUACAUAAACCUCGAUGCAUUAUUUAUCCAUCCCAGAAUUAAUUCCCAUCCAAGCGGACCAUUAAAGCCUCAGUAAUCACUGCUGAUCAAUCACUGGACCAGGGCGGGGCAGUCCCUCC